GGAGCCUGGAAAAGCAAGUAUCUGACAUUUCCUGGGAGAGUGGGGUGGUUCUUGGUUGGCAACCAACAGUGUCGGCCUCACGACACUUUGAUUCUUGAUCAAGAGAAGAAACAAUGUCUAUAGGCAGGGGGUGUGGCUCCCAGUUUUUUGGCAGCAAACUUUUGUGGGUCACGGUUUGCCAGCAGUUAUUGUGGUUACGGUGGUGGUGAGCAGCAGGAAAUUGCUCCAGAGAGAGGCGGAAGGGACAACAGAAGGCUGCCAGUCACCUGCUGCAGGCCCAUGGAAGCACCCUCACAGCACCAGCGGCAAUGAGAAAUUGCUGACUUUAUUUGGGAAGUCGGAAACUCAGAUCCUCAUGAUCAAGUGUUUCCUUUCAAACCAAGACCCAAAAGGACUACACAGGUGGAUGAAUGAACAGCUAAAGGUAGCCUCAGACGUCUGCCACAUGGAGUUCAGACCAGAGCUGCUCAUCCCCUCACCCCACACCUUGCCAGAAAGCAGACUCAAACCAUCCAGUGAAGGAAUGAGAGGCUCCGGGCAUUUUUGGAGUAUCAUCUGAAGAGUCACACACAUCUGACAACUGUUGAUUACCUAGGAGGACAGACCUUGUCAGUAUCUUCUCUAUUUAGCCAAUUCUCAGACAGAUGGUGCAUGAGCCAGGGAAGGUCAGUAGUUUCACUCCUGAAGCCAGCG
rnacentral:lncRNA from 1 species